GUGCACCAGGCGAGAAACCUCCGCAAUGCGGGCAACCGCGACGGGGGACCCCAGUGCCGUGGCAUCGCCACGGCUUUUCCGGAGUGUAAAAAGCUCCGGGAAUAAGGGCUGGGCAAGGCCGGUGGCAGCCGCCGCGGUAAUACCGGCGGCCCGAGUGGUGGCCGCUAUUAUUGGGCCUAAAGCGUCCGUAGCCGGGCCUGUAAGUCCCUGGCGAAAUCCCACGGCUCAACCGUGGGGCUUGCUGGGGAUACUGCAGGCCUUGGGACCGGGAGAGGCCGGGGGUACCCCUGGGGUAGGGGUGAAAUCCUAUAAUCCCAGGGGACCGCCAGUGGCGAAGGCGCCCGGCUGGAACGGUCCGACGGUGAGGGACGAAGGCCAGGGGAGCGAACCGGAUUAGAUACCCCUGUAGU
rnacentral:rRNA from 1 species